UACAAGGUAGUGGUCGGAGACUUGGAGGGGAGUUGCAAUGAGGUUAGUGGAAGAACAGCAUCUAGUAAAGAUGAGGUCGAGCGUAUUGCCUGCCUUGUGAGUAGGGGGGGAAGGUGAGAGGGUGAGGUCAAAAGAGGAGAGGAGUGGAAAGGAGGCAGAGAGGAAUGAGUCAAAGGUAGACGUGGGGAGGUUAAAGUCGCCCAGGACUGUGAGAGGUGAGCCGUCCUCAGGAAAGGAGCUUAUCAAGGCAUCAAGCUCAUUGAUGAACUCUCCGAGGGAACCUGGAGGGCGAUAAAUGAUAAGGAUGUUAAGCUUGAAAGGGCUGGUAACUGUGACAGAGAGAAUGACCACUUGGGAGAGAUGAGGAUCCCGGUGCCACCACCCCGCUGACCAGAAGCUCUCGGGGUGUGCGAGAACACGUGGGCGGACGAAGAGAGAGCAGUAGGAGUAGCAGUGUUAUCUGUGGUGAUCCAUGUUUCCGUCAGUGCCAAGAAGUCGAGGGACUGGAGGGAGGCAUAGGCUGAGAUGAACUCUGCCUUGUUGGCCGCAGAUCGGCAGUUCCAGAGGCUACCGGAGACCUGGAACUCCACGUGGGUCGUGCGCGCUGGGACCACCAGAUUAGGGUGGCCGCGGCCACGCGGUGUGGAGCGUUUGUAUGGUCUGUGCAGAGAGGAGAGAACAGGGAUAGAUAGACACAUAGUUGACAGGCUACAGAAGAGGCUACGCUAAUGCAAAGGAGAUUGGAAUGACAAGUGGACUACACGUCUCGAAUGUUCAGAAAGUUAAGCUUACGUAGCAAGAAUCUUAUUGACUAAAAUGAUUGAAAUGAUACAGUACUGCUGGAGUAGGCUAGCUGGCAGUGGCUGCGUUGUUGACACUACACUAAUCAAGUCGUUCCGUUGAGUGUAAUAGUUUCUACAGUGCUGCUAUUCGGGGGCUAGCUGGCUAGCUAGCAGUGUUGAUUACGUUACGUUAAAAGAACGACAAUAGCUGGCUAGCUAACCUAGAAAAUCGCUCUAGACUACACAAUUGUCUAUGAUACAAAGACGGCUAUGUAGCUAGCUAGCUACGAUCAAACAAAUCAAACCGUUGUACUGUAAUGAAGGUAGGUGUAGGUGUGUGGAGAGAGGUAGGUAGGUAGGUGUGUGGAGAGAGGUAGGUAGGUGUAGGUGUGUGGAGAGAGGUAGGUAGGUGUAGGUGUGUGGAGAGAGGUAGGUAGGUGUAGGUGUGUGGAGAGAGGUAGGUAGGUGUAGGUGUGUGGAGAGGUAGGUAGGUGUAGGUGUGUGGAGAGAGGUAGGUAGGUGUAGGUGUGUGGAGAGAGGUGUGUAGGUGUGUGGAGAGAGGUGUGUAGGUGUGUGGAGAGAGGUGUGUAGGUGUGUGGAGAGAGGUGUGUAGGUGUGUGGAGAGAGGUAGGUAGGUGUAGGUGUGUGGAGAGAGGUAGGUAGGUGUAGGUGUGUGGAGAGAGGUAGGUAGGUAGGUAGGUGUGUGGAGAGAGGUAGGUAGGUGUGUGGAGAGAGGUAGGUGUGUGUGUAUGUGGAGAGAGGUAGGUAGGUAGAUGUGUGGAGAGGUAGGUAGGUAGGUAGGUGUGUGGAGAGAGGUAGGUAGGUGUGUGGAGAGAAGUAGGUAGAUGUGUGUGUGUGUGUGUGUGUGUGUGUGUGGAGUGGUUGGUAGGUAGGUAGUUUGGUGUGUGUGUGUGUGGAGAGGUGGGUAGGUGUGUGUGUGUGUGGAGAGGUGUGUGUGUGUGGACAGGUGGAGAGGUGUGGGUGUGUGGAGAGAGGUAGGUAGGUAGGUGUGUGGAGAGAGGUAGGUAGGUGUGUGGAGAGAGGUAGGUAGGUAGGUAGGUGUGUGUAUGUGGAGAGUGGUUGGUAGGUAGGUAGGUGGUGUGUGUGUGUGUGGAGAGGUGGGUAGGUGUGAGUGUGUGGAGAGGUGGGUAGGUGUGAGUGUGUGGAGAGGUGGGUAGGUGUGUGUGUGUGGAGAGGUGGGUAGGUGUGUGUGUGUGUGUGGAGAGGUGGGUAGGUGUGUGUGUGGAGAGGUGGGUAGGUGUGUGUGUGUGUGUGGAGAGGUGGGUAGGUGUGUGUGUGUGUGUGUGGAGAGGUGGGUAGGUGUGUGUGUGUGUGUGGAGAGGUGUGUGUG